UACAGUCAAGGGCUCUUAAGACAUGAUAUAAUUUCACAUGGUAUGAUGCGGUUAGAAUGUGAUUACUGGGGUUUCAGGGGUGAGUACAAAGAAAGAAGAGAUGACACUGGGACAAGCCCUACGUGGCAGUUGGAGCCUGGCCUGUCUUCCUUAACUGCUUUCUCUGCCUUCCUCCAGCCAUGUUUGGUUUGACGGUAUCCUCUCAUAGCAAUACCAUCAGUAAGAGCACUGGAAGGAACUCUUUGGAAAGUACAAACAAAACCGAACAAUUUGAAAGUGUUUCUUAGAGUUAUUUUGUCCCCUUAAUACGUGACUGAAAAUAUACUUAACUUUAAGGUGUGAUCAAGAAGAAAUUACAGGACCUGACAGGAGAAAUGGAUUGUGAUGAGCCUUUGGGAGAAGCUUUGGAGAACAUAAGCAGAUGGAGGCUAUUACAGAGAACCACAACUGAUCAAAGUACAGAGAAUAAGUGACUGCGGGAUAUCUAUAUGACACUUAUUGCUGGAGAUAGAGAGCCAGUGCUGAGAUGAAGAUGAGUGAAGACCUCUCCCUCAUCAAAGAAGCUUCUUUUUGCAACAUAUGAAAGCUAUUACUGAGGACCAGAACUGGUCGAAGUGGAGAGAAUAAGUAACUGAGGAGUGCCCAGCCCCAAAUGGGACAUCUGUAACAUGGUUCCUAUACCCAAGACUGAGAGAACAUUAUGGAAGGGGGCUACAAAGAUUCUAAGAGUCAGAGGACUGGAAGAACUGGAAGUACUGCCAACAAAAUACUUUCUUCUGGGCACGACAAGGCUUGUGUGCCCAUGGACUCUCAAAGUUAUGAUUGCUUGCAUAAGACCUGCAAGACUACACCAGUCGACAUUCUAACAUGGAUGGAGGAAGGCCUUACAAGGCCUCACACCUAGUUGAAUAGCUACAAGCAGUCAACAGUUGAUGUAGGAUAGUUAAGAGAGUUUUCUUUAGGGGCAAGCCCCUAUAUAAGUUGCCAAGGCCCACGGGGUCAGCCCUACACCUGUGUAUGUGGUGGCACCUGAAAUAUGUAAAUUUACAUUAAAGAACUAGGCAAAGGACCUGAAUUUCUCAAAAUACAGCCUUAAUUAUUGGUUAAAAAGUUUCAAUGUAUUUUAUUAACAAAUUUAUUAUAUAGAAUAAUGGGUUUCCUUAUGACUUUAUACAUGUACGUAAUAUAUUUUAAUCAUAUUCAUCCUCCACACCUUAACCUCUCUUGUUCCCUCCCCUCCACUGCUGCUAAUCUUCCCAAACUAGAGCAUCCUCUACGUUCAUGUCCAUUUUUCUUUUAUAUUUGGGAUUAUGUUAUAAUUACACCAUUUCUCUCCUCCUCUCAAACCCUACCAUAUAUCCGUUCUUACUCUUUUUCAAAUUCAUGGCAUCUUUAUUCAUUUAUUAUUGUUAAAUGGAAACCUGUAUAUGUAUAUACAGAUGUUUCCAAAUAUAACUUAUUCAGUCUGUAUAACAUUUUUUGUUGUACUGAAUAUUUUUAUGUCAACUUGACACAAAUUAGAGUCAUCAGAGAGGAGGGAGCCUCAAUUGAGAAAAUGCCUCCAUAAGAUUUGGCUAUAGAGCCUAAGACUAAUGAUCAAUGAGAGAGGGCCCAGGCCACUGUGGGUUCUAUAAGAAAGCAGGCUGAGCAAGCCUUAAGGAACAAGCCAGUAAGCAGCACCCCUCCAAGGCCUCUGUAUCAGCUCCUGCCUACAGGAU